rnacentral:rRNA from 1 species
CACGUAGGGCGCAAGCGUUGUCCGGAAUUAUUGGGCGUAAAGAGCUCGUAGGCGGUCUGUUGCGUCCGCUGUGAAAACUCGGGGCUUAACCCCGAGCCUGCAGUGGAUACGGGCAGACUAGAGUGAUGUAGGGGAGACUGGAAUUCCUGGUGUAGCGGUGAAAUGCGCAGAUAUCAGGAGGAACACCGAUGGCGAAGGCAGGUCUCUGGGCAUUAACUGACGCUGAGGAGCGAAAGCAUGGGGAGCGAACAGG